rnacentral:rRNA from 1 species
AGAGUUUGAUCAUGGCUCAGGACGAACGCUGGCGGCGUGCCUAAUACAUGCAAGUCGAACGCACUGACGGAGAACUUGUUCUCUUGACGUGAGUGGCGCACGGGUGAGUAACACGUGGGAAACCUACCCUUCAGCGGGGGAUAACCAUCGGAAACGAUGACUAAUACCGCAUAGACGACAGAACCGCCUGGUUCAAUCGGGAAAGACGGCUUCGGCUGUCACUGAAGGAUGGUCCCGCGCUGCAUUAGCUAGUUGGUAAGGUAACGGCUUACCAAGGCGAUGAUGCAUAGCCGACCUGAGAGGGUGAUCGGCCACAUUGGGACUGAGACACGGCCCAAACUCCUACGGGAGGCAGCAGUAGGGAAUCUUCCGCAAUGGACGCAAGUCUGACGGAGCAACGCCGCGUGUGUGAAGAAGGUUUUCGGAUCGUAAAGCACUGUUAUUAGAGAAGAACAGCCGAUAGAGUAACUGUUAUCGGUUUGACGGUAUCUAACCAGAAAGUGACGGCUAACUACGUGCCAGCAGCCGCGGUAAUACGUAGGUCACAAGCGUUGUCCGGAUUUAUUGGGCGUAAAGGGAGCGCAGGCGGUUUGUUAAGUCUGAUGUGAAAGCCCACGGCUCAACCGUGGAACGGCAUUGGAAACUGGCAAACUUGAGUAUAGAAGAGGAAAGUGGAAUUCCAUGUGUAGCGGUGAAAUGCGUAGAUAUAUGGAGGAACACCAGUGGCGAAGGCGACUUUCUGGUCUAUAACUGACGCUGAGGCUCGAAAGCGUGGGGAGCGAACAGGAUUAGAUACCCUGGUAGUCC